rnacentral:rRNA from 1 species
CUUGCUCCUGGAUUCGACGGCGGACGGAUGAGUAAUGCCUAUGAAUCUGCCUGGUAGUGGGGGAUAACGUCCGGAAGCGGGCGCUAAUACCGCACACGUCCUGAGGGAGAAAGUGGGGGAUCUUCGGACCUCCCUCUAUCAAAUGAACCUAGGUCGGAUUAACUAGUUGGUGGGGUAAAGGCCUACCAAGGCGACCAUCCAUACCUGGUUGGAGAGGAAGAUCAAUCACCCUGGAACUAAAACACAGUCCAUACUCCUACGGGAGGCAGCAGUGGGGAAUAUUUAACAAUGGGCGAAAGCCUGAUCCAUCCAUGCCGCGUGUGUGAAGAAGGUCUUCCUAUUGUAAAGCACUUUAUUUUGGGAGGAAGGGCGGUAUUUUAGUACCUUGCUGUUUUGAUUUCCUACAGAAAAGCACCGGCUACUUCGUGCCAGCAGCCGCGGUAAUACAAAGGGUGCUGCGUUAUCAGAAUUACUGGGGGUAAUCGGCGUAGGUGGUUCAUCAGGUUGGAGGUAAAAUCCCCGGGCUCACUCUGGGAGCUGCAUCCAAAACUACUGAGCUAGAUUACGGUAGAGGAUGGUGGAAUUUCCUGUGGAGCGGUGAAUUGCGUAAAUAUAGGUAAGGACACUAGUGGCUAAGGCAACCACCUGGAGUGAUACUGACACUGAUGUGCGACAACGUGGGGAGCAAACAACAUAAAUACCCUGGUAGUCCACGCCGUCAACGAUGUCGACUAGCUGUUGGGAUCCUUCAGAUCUUAGUGGCGCACCUAACACAAAUAUUCAACCGCCUGGGGAGUACGGCCGCACGGUGAAACUCCGUGAAUUAACUGGGGCCGCACAACGGUCGAGCAGUGUUUUUUUCUAUCACGCAAAGACCAUACCUGCCUGAAUACUGAGACUUUCAAAAAGAUUGUGCCUCGCACUAGACAAGUCUGCUGGUGUGUCACUCGGCUUAGAAUU